UACAGGGGGUGCAAACGUUGCUCGGAAUCAUUGGGCGUAAAGCGCACGUAGGCGGUUCGUUAUGUCGGAUGUGAAAGCCCUUGGCUUAACCGAGGAAGUGCAUCCGAAACUGGCGAGCUAGAGUGCGAAAGAGGAUCGCGGAAUUCCCGGUGUAGAGGUGAAAUUCGUAGAUAUCGGGAGGAACACCGGUGGCGAAGGCGGCGAUCUGGGUCGAUACUGACGCUGAGGUGCGAAAGCGUGGGGAGCAAACAGG
rnacentral:rRNA from 1 species